UCCCAAAAAUAAACGUCCCAGUUCGGACUGUAGUCUGCAACCCGACUACACGAAGCUGGAAUCGCUAGUAAUCGCGAAUCAGAAUGUCGCGGUGAAUACGUUCCCGGGUCUUGUACACACCGCCCGUCACACCAUGGGAGUCGGGAAUGCCCGAAGUCAGUGACCCAACCAUAUGGAGGGAGCUGCCGAAGGCAGGUCUGAUAACUGGGGUGAAGUCGUAACAAGGUAAC
rnacentral:rRNA from 1 species